rnacentral:rRNA from 1 species
GACGUAGGGCGCGAGCGUUGUCCGGAAUUAUUGGGCGUAAAGAGCUCGUAGGCGGCUCGUCGCGUCGGCUGUGAAAACCUGGGGCUCAACCCCGGGCCUGCAGCCGAUACGGGCGAGCUAGAAUUCGGUAGGGGAGACUGGAAUUCCUGGUGUAGCGGUGAAAUGCGCAGAUAUCAGGAGGAACACCGGUGGCGAAGGCGGGUCUCUGGGCCGAUAUUGACGCUGAGGAGCGAAAGCGUGGGGAGCGAACAGG